rnacentral:rRNA from 1 species
AGAGUUUGAUCAUGGCUCAGAUUGAACGCUGGCGGCAGGCCUAACACAUGCAAGUCGAGCGGUAACAGGGGGUGCUUGCACCCCGCUGACGAGCGGCGGACGGGUGAGUAAUGCAUAGGAAUCUGCCCGAUAGUGGGGGAUAACCUGGGGAAACCCAGGCUAAUACCGCAUACGUCCUACGGGAGAAAGGGGGCUCCGGCUCCCGCUAUCGGAUGAGCCUAUGUCGGAUUAGCUGGUUGGUGAGGUAAAGGCUCACCAAGGCGACGAUCCGUAGCUGGUCUGAGAGGAUGAUCAGCCACAUCGGGACUGAGACACGGCCCGAACUCCUACGGGAGGCAGCAGUGGGGAAUAUUGGACAAUGGGGGGAACCCUGAUCCAGCCAUGCCGCGUGUGUGAAGAAGGCCCUCGGGUUGUAAAGCACUUUCAGUGAGGAAGAACGCCUGGUGGUUAAUACCCAUCAGGAAAGACAUCACUCACAGAAGAAGCACCGGCUAACUCCGUGCCAGCAGCCGCGGUAAUACGGAGGGUGCAAGCGUUAAUCGGAAUUACUGGGCGUAAAGCGCGCGUAGGUGGCUUGAUAAGCCGGUUGUGAAAGCCCCGGGCUCAACCUGGGAACGGCAUCCGGAACUGUCAAGCUAGAGUGCAGGAGAGGAAGGUAGAAUUCCCGGUGUAGCGGUGAAAUGCGUAGAGAUCGGGAGGAAUACCAGUGGCGAAGGCGGCCUUCUGGACUGACACUGACACUGAGGUGCGAAAGCGUGGGUAGCAAACAGGAUUAGAUACCCUGGUAGUCCACGCCGUAAACGAUGUCGACCAGCCGUUGGGUGCCUAGCGCACUUUGUGGCGAAGUUAACGCGAUAAGUCGACCGCCUGGGGAGUACGGCCGCANGGUUNAAACUCAAAUGAAUUGACGGG